UCCGUAGGUGAACCUGCGGAGGACAUUACCUAGAGUUGUAGGCUUUGCCUGCUAUCUCUUACCCAUGUCUUUUGAGUACCUUACGUUUCCUCGGUGGGUUCGCCCACCGAUUGGACAAAUUUAAACCCUUUGCAGUUGAAAUCAGCGUCUGAAAAAACUUAAUAGUUACAACUUUCAACAACGGAUCUCUUGGUUCUGGCAUCGAUGAAGAACGCAGCGAAAUGCGAUAAGUAGUGUGAAUUGCAGAAUUCAGUGAAUCAUCGAAUCUUUGAACGCACAUUGCGCCCCUUGGUAUUCCAUGGGGCAUGCCUGUUCGAGCGUCAUUUGUACCUUCAAGCUCUGCUUGGUGUUGGGUGUUUGUCUCCUGUAGACUCGCCUCAAAACAAUUGGCAGCCGGCGUAUUGAUUUCGGAGCGCAGUACAUCUCGCGCUUUGCACUCAUAACGACGACAUCCAAAAGUACAUUUUUACACUCUUGACCUCGGAUCAGGUAGGGAUACCCGCUGAACUUAAGCAUAUCAAUAAGCGGAGGA
rnacentral:rRNA from 1 species